rnacentral:lncRNA from 1 species
CUGGGUGACAAGAGUGAGACUUGGUCUCAAUAAAUGAAUGAAUGAAUGAAUGAAUGAAUGAACCAUACAGGUAGAAUUACCCUAUAACCCAGCAAUUGCAUUCCUAGGUAUACACCCAAGGGAACUGAAAACAUAUGUCCACACAGAAGCCUGUAAACAAAUGUUCUCCGCGGCAUUAUUCACAAUAGCCAAAAGGUAGAAACCACAGACGUUCAUCGAGGGAUGAGUGGAUUAACCAAUCGUGGUCUAUCCACACAACGGAGUAUGAUUCACCCACAAAAAGGAAUGAACCACUGGUCCAUGCUACCAUGUGGAUGAACUUUGAAAAUGUGAUGCUCAGCAAAAGACGCCAGAUGCAAAGAUCACAUAUUCUAUGAUUCCAUGGAUAUAGUAUACCCACUAUAGGUAAAUCCAUAGACAGAAUGCAGACUGACGGGUGCCAGGGGUUGUGGAGAGGAGGGAAUGGGGAGUGACUGCUAAUGGGUUUGGGGUAUUAUUUUGGGCUGAUGAAAAUGUUUUGGAACCAGGUAGAAGUGAUGGUUACAUAGCACUGUGAAUGUACUCAAAGCCACCUAAUUAUGUACUUUAACAUUAGGUGAAUUUUAGAUGGAAAGAAGGAAGGAGAGAAGAGGAAGGGGGCAGAAAUGUUGGCAGGGCAGCGCUAAGCCCACUGUUCACUCUUCCUAGGCAGGGUCGUGUUUUCUACCCCAAUUGUACAAUGGCUGCAACACAGCAGGAGUUAAUCAAUGAUAAACAAUGUCAAAUCCACAGACACCAACCAGAGGCUUCCAGAUGUUACCCUUCACACUUACUUUACACCGUGACCCCUCCCCCAAACACACACAUCUAUAUAUCCAAGUUUUACAAAUAAUACUCAGAUCUAUUAUGAGUAAUGCACUGUGACUUUUGAUGAACCCAUUAAGUUGAUUUUGCCCAUUUGGGAAACCGGCCAAGAUCACUUAAGAGGCGCUGCAGUACUAAGAGCUUUAAGAAUACUUAAAUGCUGAGGCCAGGCACAGUGGCUCAUGCCUGUAGUAAUCCCAGG